rnacentral:rRNA from 1 species
AUGGUGUCUGAUGUGCGCAGCCAGACUUGUAAGACCAACACCUGCCAUACUCCUGUCAAGCAUUGGCCUCCGCCACCGGCAGGAUGGGUGGCGCUUUCUGUGGACAGAUCCUUCUCGAUUAAGGAUGGGUGGCGCUUUCUGUUGACGGAUCCUUCUUGGUUAAGGAUGGGUGGCGCUUUCUGUGGACAGAUCCUUCUCGCACGAUGGGUGCGCAUAGUGAGAAUGGUACGUUUGUUAGAGUACGUAAUGGGCCUAACGGGUCCGUUAGUCUUAGGGUUAAUUAGAGAUAGGAUCGCUUACUUAGGGGUCAAGUAA